GUGACCCUAGGUCAGGAGGGCC
rnacentral:rRNA from 1 species